rnacentral:lncRNA from 1 species
CACCGCUCGCUCGCUCGCUUUUUUUUCCGGUUCCUGCAGCAGCGCGACCAGCUGAGACCUACUUUCAUGUCCGCACUCCGCCGGCAGCCACUCAGGCCUCCUCCGCCGCCGAGCCAGCCAAUCAGAGCGCGGCUGCUGCUCAUGCAGGGGAAAUAUGAUCAUUUUUUUUCUCUCUCUCUCCCCGUCGCUCGCUCGCCCGCUCCUUCCUCCGUGUGAGCGGGGUUCGGCGGUGAGAGAGGAAGAGGGAGGGAGGGAGGCAGGGACGGCCGCAGAGCGUAGACGGGCACGGCUCCCUGCACCGAGCGCGUUCCAGCUGGUGCCGUCGGCGGCGAAUCGGACGAGGUUUCUCGCUCGCGGCCGGGCGCGGUGCGGAGGAGGACGUGUCAGGGCGUGUGAGGUGGGCGUGCGUCUGGAUUAGAUCGCCGGGAACGCCAGGAGGACCGCAGCCCGGACGAGCCCCCGAGCCAGAAACAGAUGGCCUGGCGAUGCCGGAACGCUUUAAGUGAAAGUAAA